rnacentral:misc_RNA from 1 species
UUGCAAUGUUACAGUUACAAUGCAAGCCCAAAAGGAGGCACCCCAUGACAUGCAGUGCAGGGACAAAUUCCUUCUUCAAAGCGUUGCUGCUUCUGACGGUGCAACCACAAAAGAUAUAACUGCAGAUAUGUUCAAUAAGGAGGAUGGUAAGGUUGUUCAGGAGUUCAAACUGCGUGUAGUCUAUAUCCCCGCUAAUCCUCCCUCACCUGUCCCAGAAGA